AUGAAAAGAAACUAUCCUUAGGCUUUGAAUCCGUUUUGGCAUUAUUACCUAAUUUCUAGCGCAUACUUCGAUUCAUUAGAACUACAAGUUCCAAUGCAACCACAAAAAGAAAUAUGAUUCCAGGCUACCCUAAGUAUAACCUAUCCUGUCAAGCACUAUCGCUAUUGUCGGUGUUUGCCAAAAAUCACAUAUAGAGAAACCAUUGUCUGAAUAGAACAAGUGAAUCACAAAGACAAAUAUUCUAAACUGAUUUAACUAUUAAAAAUCAUCCACAAGGGAAGGGGUCUUCAAAAUCAGACAAUCAAGUAUGAUUUACAAC